CUACGACUCAGAAUGACUGACGCGAGUUCCAUGAGUUCUUUGAGUGGAGUAGAGUCGGCGAGCGAGAUGUCGGAAAGCACGGUCGGAGCUGCAGGAGCAGGU